rnacentral:rRNA from 1 species
CCUACGGGAGGCAGCAGUGGGGAAUUUUGGACAAUGGGCGCAAGCCUGAUCCAGCAAUGCCGCGUGCAGGAUGAAGGCCUUCGGGUUGUAAACUGCUUUUGUACGGAACGAAACGGUCCUUUCUAAUACAAGGGGCUAAUGACGGUACCGUAAGAAUAAGCACCGGCUAACUACGUGCCAGCAGCCGCGGUAAUACGUAGGGUGCGAGCGUUAAUCGGAAUUACUGGGCGUAAAGCGUGCGCAGGCGGUUAUAUAAGACAGAUGUGAAAUCCCCGGGCUCAACCUGGGACCUGCAUUUGUGACUGUAUAGCUAGAGUACGGUAGAGGGGGAUGGAAUUCCGCGUGUAGCAGUGAAAUGCGUAGAUAUGCGGAGGAACACCGAUGGCGAAGGCAAUCCCCUGGACCUGUACUGACGCUCAUGCACGAAAGCGUGGGGAGCAAACAGGAUUAGAUACCCUGGUAGUCCACGCCCUAAACGAUGUCAACUGGUUGUUGGGUCUUCACUGACUCAGUAACGAAGCUAACGCGUGAAGUUGACCGCCUGGGGAGUACGGCCGCAAGGUUGAAACUUAAAGGAAUUGACGGCUUGNGNGNGCGAGCGACGACGAGGAGAGG